AUGGCUCAGGACGAACGCUGGCGGUGUGCCUCAUACAUGCAAGUCGAACGAUAAGGCUUCUUCGGAAGUACAUAAGUGGCGGACGGGUGAGUACAACAUAGGAAAUCUGCCUUAGGGUGGGGGACAACAGAGGGAAACUCCUGCUAAUACCCCAUAUGAGCUAACUUGAAAUAGUUAUCUUGAAAACUCCGGUGCCCUAAGAUGAGCCUGUGCCUGAUUAGCUGGUUGGUGGUGUAAUGGACUACCAAGGCGACGAUCAGUAGCUGGUUUGAGAGGAUGAUCAGCCACAAUGGGACUGAGACACGGCCCAUACUCCUACGGGAGGCAGCAGUAGGGAAUUUUGCGCAAUGGGGGAAACCCUGAACCGCAGCAACACCGCGUGAAUGUUAAGCCCUUCGGGGUGUAAAGUUCUGUCAGUAGGGAAGAACAAAUGACUGUACCUACAAAGGAAGCACCGGCUAACUCCGUGCCAGCAGCUGC
rnacentral:rRNA from 1 species